rnacentral:rRNA from 1 species
UACAGAGGGUGCAAGCGUUGUUCGGAAUUAUUGGGCGUAAAGGGCGCGUAGGCGGUGCCACAAGUCACCUGUGAAAUCUCCGGGCUUAACUCGGAGCCUGCAGGCGAAACUGUGGUGCUGGAGUGUGGGAGAGGUGCGUGGAAUUCCCGGUGUAGCAGUGAAAUGCGUAGAGAUCGGGAGGAACAUCAGUUGCGAAGGCGGCUCUCUGGACCAGCACUGACACUGAGGCACGAAAGCGUGGGAGCAACAGG